UACAGAGGGGGCAAGCGUUAUUCGGAAUUACUGGGCGUAAAGGGCGCGUAGGCGGCCUACUAAGUCGGACGUGAAAUCCCUCGGCUCAACCGGGGAACUGCGUCCGAUACUGGUGGGCUUGAAUCCGGGAGAGGGAUGUGGAAUUCCAGGUGUAGCGGUGAAAUGCGUAGAUAUCUGGAGGAACACCGGUGGCGAAGGCGGCAUCCUGGACCGGUAUUGACGCUGAUGCGCGAAAGCGUGGGGAGCAAACGGG
rnacentral:rRNA from 1 species